UACGGAGGGGGCGAGCGUUAUUCGGAAUUAUUGGGCGUAAAGGGCGCGUAGGCGGCUUGAUAAGUCAAAGGUGAAAUCCCUCGGCUCAACUGAGGAAUUGCCUUUGAAACUGUCUGGCUCGAGGCCGGGAGGGGGUAGCGGAAUCCCCAGUGUAGCGGUGAAAUGCGUAGAUAUUGGGAGGAACACCGGUGGCGAAGGCGGCUACCUGGACCGGUUCUGACGCUGAUGCGCGAAAGCGUGGGGAGCAAACAGG
rnacentral:rRNA from 1 species